GUGGGAAUAGCUCAGUGGUAGAGCACAUGCUUAGCAUGCAGGAGGUCCUGGGUUCAAUCCCCAGUACCUCCA
rnacentral:tRNA from 1 species